rnacentral:rRNA from 1 species
AUACAUAGGUUAACGAGGCGAACCGGGGGAACUGAAACAUCUAAGUACCCCGAGGAAAAGAAAUCAACCGAGAUUCCCCCAGUAGCGGCGAGCGAACGGGGAGCAGCCCGGAGUCUGAAUCAGCUUGUGUGUUAGUGGAACGGUCUGGAAAGUCCGACGGUACAGGGUGAUAGUCCCGUACACGAAAGCACACUUGCUGUGAACUCGAAGAGUAGGGCGGGACACGUGGUAUCCUGUCUGAAUAUGGGGGGACCAUCCUCCAAGGCUAAAUACUCCUGACUGACCGAUAGUGAACCAGUACCGUGAGGGAAAGGCGAAAAGAACCCCGGCGAGGGGAGUGAAAAAGAACCUGAAACCGUGUACGUACAAGCAGUGGGAGCCUCUUUAUGGGGUGACUGCGUACCUUUUGUAUAAUGGGUCAGCGACUUAUAUUCUGUAGCAAGGUUAACCGUAUAGGGGAGCCGAAGGGAAACCGAGUCUUAACUGGGCGUUAAGUUGCAGGGUAUAGACCCGAAACCCGGUGAUCUAGCCAUGGGCAGGUUGAAGGUUGGGUAACACUAACUGGAGGACCGAACCGACUAAUGUUGAAAAAUUAGCGGAUGACCUGUGGCUGGGGGUGAAAGGCCAAUCAAACCGGGAGAUAGCUGGUUCUCCCCGAAAGCUAUUUAGGUAGCGCCUCGUGAACUCAUCUUCGGGGGUAGAGCACUGUUUCGGCUAGGGGGCCAUCCCGGCUUACCAACCCGAUGCAAACUACGAAUACCGAAGAAUGUUAUCACGGGAGACACACGGCGGGUGCUAACGUCCGUCGUGAAGAGGGAAACAACCCAGACCGCCAGCUAAGGUCCCAAAGUCAUGGUUAAGUGGGAAACGAUGUGGGAAGGCACAGACAGCCAGGAUGUUGGCUUAGAAGCAGCCAUCAUUUAAAGAAAGCGUAAUAGCUCACUGGUCGAGUCGGCCUGCGCGGAAGAUGUAACGGGGCUAAACCAUG